GAAGACCUUACUCAAAAUCUCCCGUCAAAGUGGAGUUACUUACUUCCUUGCUCUUCUCGUGUCUUCAGGGAUCAUCAUCAUCAUCGAAGGUUCAUGUCAUAAAAUGAAUCUCGAUUAGAAACUCAUUGGCUAACUCUCAAGCCUUAACUCAUGCUCUAUCUCAUACUCUAUCUCCUUACUCAACUCUAUAUAACUCUCCACUCAUCUCACAUCCUUAAGUUCAAGGAUAGGUUUCAAGAAAAACAUGGUUCUAAGUCUCGAUUUAUCUCUCAUAUAAGACUCGUCUAACUUCAUUCAAACACAUAGGCAACACAAUCACAUAAGGCACAUAAGAAAUCACAACAAACAUCAUCAAAACAUGCUCUGUUUUUUACACUGACUCAACUUCAAAAUUUAAACUGUUCUGACUCCGACAUCUUCUGGACUCGAGACUCAUACCGAAAGAAAGAUCUUCGAGUCUAGUUUCAUUUAAAAAAAAAAGUAGAGUCGAAAACUCCAAGCGAUUUGAGAGAUAUGACGUUUUUACCACGAUCUACCAUUUCUGGCAGUUUUGAGCAAUCGAAAGUUACAAUUUUUGAAAAACAGUAAACGUUGUCAAACUGGGCUCAAACUUAGUGGAUAUCUAUCUAACACAAUAAUAUUGAUACCAUAAAAAUUUGGAAAGCUAGAUCACAUAGGAAGCUACUGAAAUGAAUGACUCUUUCCCCUGUUCUCUGAAAUUCUCGGUAGUAAUGUGCAGUUUAGGUUUUGCAUUUUAAAGAAAUAUCAAACGAAGUUGAAAUGGCUUAAAAUUUUAUAAGGGUACUCAAGACUCAUGUAGGGACUUGCUAUAAAAUUUUCAAAGCUAUUAGACAUCGACAAACCAUCGAUCACAGGAGGUCAGUAGGCCUACGAAAUUUCUCCAAUUUGUACUUAAAACUCAUAUAUCUCAAAAACAUCUCUAUCUUGAAUACAACAACAUAAUUCUCAACAACAAACUCAUACCAAAACUCAUUUCAUCACUUCUAAUCAUCAAUCUAAACCAUCACUUAACAUCAUAGCAUGCUCAAGAACUCAUAUAACCACUCAAAUCUUCAAAUCAACUCAAGAACUCAUAUUCGUUAUCACUCAUUUCUAAUCAUCAUUUUAAUCCAUCAACUAUCAUAACUACAAUCUCUAAGGCUCAUUUAUAUACUCGAAUCCUCACUCUCUUCAUGAUCUUCAACUUGAAUUAGGAGUUGUUUUAAUACUCUAAUCAUCUAUAUACAUGCUCAUAAAGCUUAGAUAUAAGUAGAUUCAUGUGUUUAGAGACUUACUCUUAUGAUCUGUAUAACGAACAGUAUAACUCCACUUUCUGUAUUCCUAGCUCAAACCUUCGUCCAGCUUUUGUUUUAUGGAUAUACGAGUGUUUUCAGCUUGGUUUAAUCGGUGGUUAUGGGAUAAAAAGUAGCUUACAAAGUUUUUUUACUAGCUCAUCAAUGGCGUUGGAUAAUGACAGUCGAGAGAAAAAGAGAGAAAUGAGAGAGGAGAGAGAGGAAAGGGACGUCUGUUAUGGGGAUGAAAGAGAAAGGUGUUAUUUAUAUAACCCCAUUUACUUAGCCAACAAGUAUUGGAUAAUUAACACAUGCUUAAUUAUCCACUUGCAUAAAAUAUCUUAUCCGAUAACAAUGUUUAUCCACUUGCUUUGACUCCUCUCUCUCAAAAGUAGGUUCUGCACUUAGAGCAGAGAAAUGCUCGCCAGAGGAAUGCAUUCUCUGUCAGGGCAGAGGAAUGACUUCCCUUCUGCCUGGGCAGAGGAAUGACUUCCCCUCUGUCUGGGCAGACGAAUGCCUUCGCCUCUGGCAUAGCAGAAGACUGACCUUCCCCUCUGUCUGGGCAGACGAAUGCCUUCGGCCUUCUGGCAUAGCAGAGGACUGACCUCGCCUCUGGCAUAGCAGAGCUCGCAUCCCGAGCAGAGCUCGCAAGCCAGAGCAAAACUCCCAGGCCAUAGCAGAACUCCAAGGCCAGAGCUCGGCUACAAACCAUCGAAAGAAAAGACAUUUUUAACUUCAUCAACGUUCAUCCAUCAUCUCUAUACAUCCUUAUUUCCUUAUUUCAUUCACUAGUUCUUCAACGAAAAAUAACAAUAGCUCAAACUAUUGGAAUAUCUCAUCUCANNNNNNNNNNNNNNNNNNNNNNNNNNNNNNNNNNNNNNNNNNNNNNNNNNNNNNNNNNNNNNNNNNNNNNNNNNNNNNNNNNNNNNNNNNNNNNNGAAUGCAUUCUCUGUCAUAGCAAGGACUGACUUCCCUCGUCUGGGCAGACGAAUGCCUUCGCCUCUCGGCACUAGCAGAGGACUGACUUCCCUCUGUCAGGGCAGACGAAUGACUUCACCUCUGGCAUAGCAGAGGACUGACUUCCCUCUAUCUGGGCAGACGAAUGCCUUCGCUCUGCAUAGCAGAGGACUGACUUCCCUCUGUCUGGGCAGACGAAUGCCUUCGCCUCUGGCAGAGCAGAGGACUCAACUCCCCUCUAGCAGGGCAGACGAAUGCCUCCCCUCUGGCAGAGCAGAGGACUGACUCCCCUCUGGCAGGGCAGACGAAUGCCUCCCCUCUAACAGAGCAGAGCUCGCAUCCCGAGAAGAGCUCGCAAGCCAGAGCAAAACUCCACGCCAUAGCAGAACUCCAAGGCCAGAUUUUAACAUUAACACGUUCAACCAUUAACUCUAUACAUCCUUAUUUCCUCAAUGUAUUACAUUCAGUAGUUCUUCAUCGAAAAAUACAAUAGCUCAAACUAUUGGAAAAUCUCAUCUCAUCAUAAACUUAAAUAUAUAUAUAUAUCUCAGUAAAUAUUUCUCAUAAAAUACUAAUAUGCAAACUAAUAAUAGCUGUAUGCUAUUUCCCGAUUUUAAAAAUAAUCUCGUUCUCCAAAAUCUCGAAAAUAAUCCGUGUUAACAUAACACAAAACAAAUCAUACUCACAUCAUCGUAACAAAUAGUCACGUAGACAAUCACUCAAACCAUCUCAGAUAAAACACGGAUACAAUUCACAUCAAAGCAGUCAGCAAUCAUCUCUCAAUUAGAUCAUCUCUCAGAUCGACUCUCCCUUCUAUAGGGUUUCUCACUCACUUAUCUCAACUUUAUUCUUAAUCAGAUGUUCCUAUUAACAAUAGGACAAUUAAUCUCAUAGAUACCUUUGUAUCCGUCAUCGGGAAAAAUAAAUUAUGCUCUUUUCUCAAUUCAAUCAGCAUCUCUAUCUCAACUCGUUUUCUCAAACUACUCACUCUCUAUCCUCAUCAUUGAUUCUAUCAGACUCAUAUCUCUAUCUAGAAGAAUAACUCGUCUCAUCAAAAUAAUGUAACUCUAAUGCUCAAUAUUUCUAUUUAUCAUCAUUACUCCAUCUCAUUUUAAUUAUAAUCUCAUAUCUCAGUACCGCAGUACUCUCUGUAGUGUCUCGACACUACUACUACUCAUCAAAGUACAGGGUGUUACAUAGGCCUACCUCUCAAGUACCGUGAUCGGCCGACCCGAAGACGGCUCGCGGUCACCUCUGUGCACAUUAGUCCUGGCAGGAUAGCUAUCAACUGCCCAGGACCCGAAUUCGUCUCAUCUCAUCAGUAGAGGGUGACAUACAGGCUCAACAUCAAAAAAAUUGGCAAGUCAAAUAGUUCUCAAACAUCAUUUAUCUCAAAAUAUUUGUUAAACUCAUAACAUCUUCAAAAUAUUUUAGAAAGCUCAUAUGAUAUAUGUAUACUCAAAAUAUUGCCCACCUGAAGUCCUUCGCUCUACCUGAAAAGAAAUCAGGCGACUUACUUCUUCGUCUCGCUCGGGCCUUCAUAUAUUUCCAUUAUCGUCAUCGAAGGUUCAUGUGAUAAAACAAACCUUAGUCAGAAACUCAUUUACUAAAACCAAUCUCGUCUCAAACUAUAACUUCUCACUCAACGUCUAUUUACCCAAAUACAUCUCGAUCCCUAGGUAUACUUAACUUCUAAGGAUUCACACGUCCUUCUCUCGACUUAACUCUCAACUCGGACCAAACUCGUAGCAAACAAGCACAUAAACAAGCAUAAACACAUAAGCAUAUCAAAACACAAAUAGACAAGUCAAAAACAAACUUCACUCUGCACUGACUCGAAUUCAAAACCUCACCAGACUCGGUACAGAACUCCACUGGAGUCGUAACCUAUACCAAUUGAAACCUAUUUGAGUCUAGUUUCAUUUAAAAAAAAUUAGCAUUAAAAACUCCAAGUAAUUUAGGAGAUAUGACUGUUUUACUACAGUCUACCAUAUUCAGCAGUGUUUAGCAAUCGAAAGCUUUGAUUUUUGAAAAAUAGUAACCGUUUUCAAAAAGGUCUGAAAUUUGGUGGGUACAUAGCUAAAACACUCAUGUAUUAACAAUAAAAAGUUGGGCUCCAAAACGUUAUGGAAAGAUACUGGAAAAGGUGACUCUAUUGGCUACUCACCGAACAUUUCGGCAGAACGUAGCAGUUUUGAUUUUCCAUUUUAUAAAAAUAGUAAACAAAGUCUAAAUGACUUGAAAUGUUACCAGUAUUCUCACGACUCUCAAAUAUACUUACCAUAAAAUUUGCAUAGUGUUUGGGUAACAAUAACACCUCGAAAAGAGUAGGUCAGUGCGUUUCAAAAAUAAUGACUCUUAACUCAAUCACACAAGCAAACAUGCUUAACUCAACAUUCCUUCAAAGAAAACUUAUCAAAGUUCUUCGUAAACACUUAUAGCACUCAAAAACAUUCAAGCCCAACAUAAUACUCAUCACAACUCAAAUUGACUCUCCUCUUCCAUCUUAAACUCAAAUCUCAAGAAAACGUUUCAAGAACGCGUCGCUUCAAUACUCAUCUCAUUUUCAUGCUCAAAAUUUCUCAAAUACUCAUAUAUGACCUCAUACAUCAUAGAACUCAUUACACAUACAUAGAUUCUCUUAUACCAUGCAAACUAAACUCGAAGAAAAACUCACACAUCAACGUAGACUCUUAAUUAAAGCAUGACAAACGUUCACAUAAUAAUCAUAAAGCAAUUAGACCUCAUUAAACCAAUCAUCGACUUCUCAAAAUAUGAUAACUCAAAAACUUAUAUAAACUAAACUAAGUCAAAAUUUUAUUUAGUCAACAAAAGACCUAACCAAACAUAAUUAGACACUUAUAUCAUGCUCAAUUACAUAUAUCCUAAGCCAAUUUACUUAUUAAACACAUAGGCAAGAAAGUCCUAAUUUUUAUUAAACUAAACUCUUUGAAAUUCUACAAACACACAUGAAACAUUAAUCCAAUCAUGGAUCUAUCAAUUACAACCAUUUAAUCUCAUUUAAACCAUCAAUUGACAAUUUAGGGCAUAGAUACUCAUAUCCCUAAUUUUAUCAAACUAACUCACAUCAAAGUCAUCAAUUAACAUCAUAUCCUCAAUCUAAUCCAUCAAUCAUCAUCAUAGACAUCUCAUAGUCUCAUUCUCAUCAUCAAUUCAUCAUUUAAAACAUCAACUCACAAAUUCCCAAUUUUGGAUAAACUAAACUCAAUCAAUUUUUGCAUCUCAAGGCAUAGCCUUUCACAACACACAUCAAUCAUCAUCAAACAUCACAUAGAUCUCAUUUUUCACCUCAAUUCAAGAAAAGAAAAAGAAGAAUUUUGAAGGUUAUAAUUCCCCAAAUUUUUGAAAACUUGGAAAAAAAAGGAAGGGGUGAUUUUCUUGCUUCAAUCAUCCAUAUAUGCUCACAUAUAACAUCAUACAAGUUAGAUCUAUGAAUAUAAAGAUCACUUACCCAAGCUUACACCCAAAAUCAAACUUUCUCUUUCUAACUUUGAAAUCAAACUCAAAGGAUUUCCUUGGAUUCAAGGAUAUAGAAGGUGUUUAAGUAAGAUUUAGAAGGUGAUUUGUGUUUUUGGUAUGAUUUUAUGAAGCUUCGAAGGUCUUCAACAAUGGAUGUCAAUGGAGGAAAAGUGAGAGAUGAGGGAGAGAGGUGGUGGUCGAAAAUGAUGAGUGAAGGAGAGAGAGAAAAUUUUAGCAAGAUAUGAGAGGAUUUGGAAAUCUUAGGGAAGAUUUGCAAUCUUAGAGAAUCUUUGGCAUUAAAUGCCUUGAUCUCUCUCUAAUCUCUACACUCUCAAAUAUCCACUUGGCAACUUGUAUAUUUAGGCACGUGCUCAAAGGAAUAAAAUAAUCAUGUAGAGAGAGUAGUAAUUAAAUAAUUACACUAAUAAUACAUAGGAAAUGUUACUCAUACAAUAANCAAAGUACAGGGUGUUACAUAGGCCUACCUCUCAAGUACCGUGAUCGGCCGACCCGAAGACGGCUCGCGGUCACCUCUGUGCACAUUAGUCCUGGCAGGAUAGCUAUCAACUGCCCAGGACCCGAAUUCGUCUCAUCUCAUCAGUAGAGGGUGACAUACAGGCUCAACAUCAAAAAAAUUGGCAAGUCAAAUAGUUCUCAAACAUCAUUUAUCUCAAAAUAUUUGUUAAACUCAUAACAUCUUCAAAAUAUUUUAGAAAGCUCAUAUGAUAUAUGUAUACUCAAAAUAUUGCCCACCUGAAGUCCUUCGCUCUACCUGAAAAGAAAUCAGGCGACUUACUUCUUCGUCUCGCUCGGGCCUUCAUAUAUUUCCAUUAUCGUCAUCGAAGGUUCAUGUGAUAAAACAAACCUUAGUCAGAAACUCAUUUACUAAAACCAAUAAACCUUAGUUAGAAACUCAUUUACUAAAACCAAUCUCGUCUCAAACUAAUACUUCUCACUCACUCUAUUUACCAAAUAAUCUCAUCCCUAGGUAUACUUAACUUCUAAGGAUUCACACGUCCUCUCUCGACUUAACCUCAACUCGACAAACUCUAGCAAACAAGCACAUAAACAAGAUAAACACAUAAGCAUAUCAAAACAAUAGACAGUCAAAACAAACUUCAUCUGCACUGACCGAAUUAAACUCACCAGACUCGGUACAGAACUCCAUGGGUCUACUAUCCAAUUGAAACCUUUUGAGUCUAGUUUCAUUAAAAAAAUAAUUAAAAACUCCAAGUAUUUAGGAGAUAUGACUGUUUUACUACAGUCUACCAUAUUCGCAGUUUAGAAUCGAAAGCUUUGAUUUUUGAAAAUAGUAACUUUAAAAGGUCUAAAUUUGGUGGGUACAUAGCUAAACAUCAUGUUUAACAUAAAAAUUGGGCUCCAAAACGUUAUGGAAAGAUACUGGAAAAGGUGACUCUAUUGGCUACUCACCGAACAUUUCGGCAGAACGUAGCAGUUUUGUUUUCCAUUUUAUAAAAAUAGUAAACAAGUCAAAUGACUUGAAAUGUUACCAGUAUUCUCACGACUCUCAAAUAUACUUACCAUAAAAUUUCAUGUGUUUGGGUAACAAUAACCCUCGAAAAAGUAGGUCAGUGCGUUUCAAAAAUAAUGACUCUUAACUCAAUCACACAAGCAAACAUGCUUAACUCAACAUUCCUUCAAAGAAAACUAUCAAAGUCUCUAAACACUUAUACACUCAAAAACAUUCAAGCCAACAUAAUACUCAUCAAACUCAAAUUGACUCUCCUCUUCAUCUUAAACUCAAAUCUCAAAGAAAACGUUUCAAUGAACGUACCUCGUUCAAUACUCAUCUCAUUUUCAUGCUCAAAAUUUACUCAAAUAUCAUAUUGACCUCAUACAUCAUAAACUCAUUAACAACAUAGAUUCUCUUAUACAUGCAAACUAAACUCGAAAAAAACUCACAUCACGUGACUCUUAAUUAAAGCAUGACAAACGUCACAUAAUAUCUAAAGCAAUUAGACUCAUUAACCAAUCAUCGACUCUCAAAAUAUGAAACUCAAAAACUAUAUAAACUAAACUAAGUCAAAAUUUUAUUUAGCAACAAGACCUAACCAAACAUAAUUAGACACUAUACAUGCUCAAUUCAUAUCCUAAGCCAAUUACUUAUAACACAUAGGCAGAAAGUCCUAAUUUUUAUUAAACUAAACUCUUUGAAAUUCUACAACACACAUGAAACAUUAAUCCAAUCAUGGAUCUAUCAAUUAUAACCAUUUAAUCUCACAUUAAACCAUCAAUUACAAUUUAGGGCAUAGAUACCAUAUCCCUAAUUUUAUCAAACUAACUCACAUCAAAGUCAUCAAUUAACAUCAUAUCCUCAAUCUAUCCAUCAAUCAUCAUCAUAGACAUCUCAUAGCUCAUUCUCAUCAUCAAUUAUCAUUAAAACAUCAACUCACAAAUUCCCAAUUUUGGUAAACUAAACUCAUCAAUUUUCAUCUCAAGGCAUAGCCUUUCAAACACACAUCAAUCAUCACAAACAUAUAGAUCUAUUUUCACCCAAUCAAGAAAGAAAAAGAAAUUUUUGAAGGUAAUCCCAAUUUUGAAAAUUGGAAAAAAAAGGAAGGGGUGAUUUUCUUGCUUCAAUCUCCAAUAUUCACAUAUACAUCAUACAAGUUAGAUCUAUGAUUAAAGAUCACUUACCCAACUUACACCAAUCAAACUUUUCUUUCUAACUUUGAAAUCAAACUCAAGGAUUCUUGGAUUCAAGAAUAGAAGGUGUUUAGAAGAUUUAGAAGGUGGAUUUGUGUUUUUGUAUGUUUUUGAAGCUGAAGGUCUUCACAAUGGUGUCAAUGGAGGAAAAGUGAGAGAUGAGGGAGAGAGGUGGUGGUCGAAAAUGAUGAGUGAAGGAGAGAGAGAAAAUUUUAGCAAGAUAUGAGAGGAUUUGGAAAUCUUAGGGAAGAUUUGCAAUCUUAGAGAAUCUUUGGCAUUAAAUGCCUUGAUCUCUCUCUAAUCUCUACACUCUCAAUAAUCCACUUGGCAACUUGUAUAUUUAGGCACUGCUCAAAGGAAUAAAAUAAUCAUGUGAGAGAGAGUAGUAAUUAAAAUACAUAAUAAUCAUGGAAAUGUUACUCAUAAUAAAAUGCAUACAUAAUUAUUCAUGUGACCAAAAUAAAAUAAUUAUACACUAAUAUUAUGCACUCACUCAAUUAUAAUAUUCCCUCGUAGAAAAAUAAUUGAAAAUAUUAUGCUGGAAAAUUUCCAUAAACCGGCAUUCUUUGAUUUCUCGGUAAAAAUAACCGCACUUGCUUUGGAAACUUAAUUAAAAUUCCAAGUGUAAAGUCUCAAAUAAAAAAUCAUAAUAACUUGCUCAUAAGACACAUAACAAAAUCACAUAAUCAAUCAGUCACGUAAAUUCACAUAAUAUCACGUCAAAGCAGUCGGCAAACACAGACAAACUAGACGUCUCUCUGACCGACUCUUUUCAUCAAGGUUCUCACUCUUUCUUUCUCAACUCUAUUUCCAACUCAUUAUUCCUAUUUUCUUAAUAGGAUAGUCAACCUCUCUGACAUCUCGGUAUCCGGUAACUCUAUUCCCGGUAGUCAGAAAUAAAAUAAAAUCUCAACUCAAUUCAAUCAGCAUCUCUAACUCAACUCAAUUCUCAAAUCUCUUCACUCUAACUCUAUCAUUGGUUUGUCCGCUCAUAUCUCUAUUUAAAAGACAAUUUGUCUUAUCUGGUCAUAAAAAAAAUAGUCUCGCAUCUCGACAUCUCAGUACUCUCAAUAGUGUUAAGACACUAUCUCACAACAUAAGGAAAAGUACGUGGUGUUACAGAAACUGUCCCAAAAGACCCUAUACAACCCAAGGAAACAAAGGAAUAAAAAUUGCAUAAGAUGAUUUUCAGAAAAUUCUACACUCUCACAGGCUGUAUAUUCUGGAAAAAAAAUCAAGAACCAAACGAAAAUAUGAACUAUGGAUGUGUAAGAUAAGUAUUAUGAUAUAUGGCAGAACACGGAAACCCUAUGGACUGCCCUAAAAUGAAAUCAAAUAGAGAUAUAGCAGAAUAUGGAAACACUAAUCACAGAAAACGCAGAAACCCUAAUUCGAAUAAUAUGGAAAACACAGACGAUAUAUGGGAUAUAUGACAGAACGGAAACACGAUAGAUAUAUAUGGAAAUACGAAAAAGAUAAGGACUGAAACUCUAAACGUCUAACCCUAAAACACGGAAAUACCAGAUUAUAUACGUAGGACAGAUCGAAAAAUGCAGAAAAUCCUAGAAAACGUCUACCCUUGACACGAAGAUAGAAAAUGAAACCUGGAUACAAAACGCGGCUCUGGUGCCAAAUGAUACGAUCCUUGCCAGACUGUUCAAACAAACACUCAAGUGGAAGACUUGACAACGAACGAUAGAUUAUGGAAUCCCAAAACCUCUGAAUCUAACCCACGGAAUGAUAUAGACGAAUAAAUUCCCUAUACCCCAACGUGAUGUUGACGCAGCAACUCGGGGACGAUGAAUGACACUCGACGAGGGUUGGUUGACUCGUCGUUACGCCGAUAGAUGAAUUCUCUUGGAAUUUCAAGAGGAAUUCGAAAACUCUCAAGAGAGAAAUAAACUCACAAAUUUUAAUAAAUCAAAUGGUGAAUUUUCGUCCACCACAAGAGCCCUAUAUAUAGGCGAAAAAAUAAAGAGACCUAGUCUAAUAAGGAAACAACUAAACCUAAUCAAACCCUAAUUUCAAAAAUAACUAAUUCAGCUAAACAAGGCCCUUACCAAUUAAAAUUCAAAAAUAAUAAAUAAAUGUAAAAUAAAUAAAAUCUUCAAAACAAUUAAAAUCUUCAAUCUUCUUCGGCCUCUCGCACGUAAGUCCAACCUACCAACUCCAUCAUCUCCCGGGUCUUGCACGAAUGAACCUUGGGCUGCAUCAUCAAUGGUGACGGCGGCGAUUGUGGUGCAGAGAGGACAGUCGAAAGGCGGAAUUGAAGAGGACAUGGGGGCUAGGGCUUGAUUUGGUAGUUCGCUGAAAUUGAGAGAGGGGUUCAGAGGAAGAGAAUGAGAGAAGAUGAAGUAAGGUGGCGCCGCUCGUCGAUCUUCCAGAGGCGGCAGUGGUUGAGCCGUAUCGGCAAUUUUAGAGAAAGAGCUAGGGCGGCGCCGGAGGAGAGAUGGAGUGGAGAGAAGAAUGAGUUAGAGAGUUGGAGAAGGUUUGAUCAAGAAAAUAGAAAGAUAAAGUGAUGAUGCAGAAAUGAGUUGAGUGAG
rnacentral:lncRNA from 1 species